rnacentral:lncRNA from 1 species
GUAGAUGGCGGCGGUUGGAGCUUCGAGUGGCUGGGGAAAAGUUUGAUCUCGGUGGCUUAGUGGACAGCGGACGAAGAGGAGGUGUCGAGGGUGUAGCUAGGAAGGUGGCCAGUGCGUGGCUUGAUAGGGCGAGGAUGAGCGGGGCACAGAAGGAAUCCGCGUGGGUGACGUCCUGGCAGCCAUUCGGCGUCGGGUCAGCUUGCUGGCGCCGCUAGUGGCACCAACGGCGGGCCUCGGCAUCGGUGCGGG